rnacentral:rRNA from 1 species
GACGAACGCUGGCGGCGUGCUUAACACAUGCAAGUCGAACGGAAAGGCCCUGCUUUUGUGGGGUGCUCUAGUGGCGAACGGGUGAGUAACACGUGAGUAACCUGCCCUUUACUUUGGGAUAACUUCAGGAAACUGGGGCUAAUACCUGAUAGGAGCUCCUGCUGCAUGGUGGGGGUUGGAAAGUUUCGGCGGUUGGGGAUGGACUCGCGGCUUAUCAGCUUGUUGGUGGGGUAGUGGCUUACCAAGGCUUUGACGGGUAGCCGGCCUGAGAGGGUGACCGGCGAAAUUGGGACUGAGAUACGGCCCAGACUCCUACGGGAGGCAGCAGUGGGGAAUAUUGCACAAUGGGAGGAAGCCUGAUGAAGCAACGCCGCGUGCGGGAUGACGGCCUUCGGGUUGUAAACAGAUGUCGAAUGUGACGAAGAGUGAGUGACGGUAAUGGGUAAAGAAGCACCGGCUAACUACGUG